rnacentral:rRNA from 1 species
GAUGAACGCUGGCGGCGUGCCUAAUACAUGCGAGUCGAGCGAACAGACGAGGAGCUUGCUCCUCUGACGUUAGCGGCGGACGGGUGAGUAACACGUGGAUAACCUACCUAUAAGACUGGGAUAACUUCGGGAAACCGGAGCUAAUACCGGAUAAUAUAUUGAACCGCAUGGUUCAAUAGUGAAAGACGGUUUUGCUGUCACUUAUAGAUGGAUCCGCGCCGCAUUAGCUAGUUGGUAAGGUAACGGCUUACCAAGGCAACGAUGCGUAGCCGACCUGAGAGGGUGAUCGGCCACACUGGAACUGAGACACGGUCCAGACUCCUACGGGAGGCAGCAGUAGGGAAUCUUCCGCAAUGGGCGAAAGCCUGACGGAGCAACGCCGCGUGAGUGAUGAAGGUCUUCGGAUCGUAAAACUCUGUUAUUAGGGAAGAACAUAUGUGUAAGUAACUAUGCACGUCUUGACGGUACCUAAUCAGAAAGCCACGGCUAACUACGUG